CACACACACACACACACACACACACACACACACAAAACCGACACAGAAGAGCAAUUCAGAUAAAAGGUUGAGGGGAAAAUGGGAGCACAGCACAGCUUCAAUGGCUAUUUUGAGUUUAAUUUGUUACUGUUGUUUGUUACUUUUGACAUUUGGUUUACAUUUUUCAUUCACCUUUUGGUUGUUCUGAUGACAUGCUUUGUAGUCUGGUUCCAUCCAUCCAUCCAUCUUCAACCCUCUAUACGGGGUCGGAUCGCAGGGGCAACAUCUCCAGCAGGGGACCCCAAACUUCCCUUUCCCGGGUCACGCCUACCAGCGCAGACCGGGGAAUCGGAGACGCCAGCUACGCUCCUGAGGAAGCCCAUUUUAGCCGCUUGUACCCGUGACCGCUCCAGUGAGAGUUGGAGGUCACAGACAGAAGAUGCCAUCAGGACCACAUCAUCUGCCAAAAGCAGCGAUGAGAUCCGCAACGCCCCGAACUGUAGACCCUCCUGCCCCCGACUACGCCUCGAUAUCCUGUCCGUGAAGACCACAAACAAGAUUGGUGACAAGGCGAAGGCCGCCCCCCCAGCGGAAACGCCUUCAACUUACUGCCGAGAAACCGAACACAGCUCUCGCUUGGGGCCAUCCAAUCCCUGUACGGCCAAAGCAAGGACCCCCUCACCCCGUACUCCCGCAGCACCUCCCACAUUCUCUCUCAGGGGACCCGGUCAUACGCCUUCUCCUGGUCCACAAAACACAUGUAGACUGGAUGAAGAGACUCGCAGGCCCCCUCCACGAUCCUGGAAAGAGUAAAGAGCUGGUCAGUCGUUCCAUGACCAGGAAAAAAACCGCAUUGUUCCUCUUCAAUCCUUGGUUCGACUAUCGGCCGAACCCUCCUUUCCAGCACCUCCACUAGUCUGGUUCCUACAUUUAAAAAAAAGAAAGCCCCGUUUGUGGUUUUAGACCCACAGAUUUCCCGUUUGUGUCUUCGUGCUGUGGACAGCAGCAGUUCACUUUCACACUAAACCGGUCAAAGGCUCCGCGUUCGCACGGCCGCUCGUCUUCGUAAGGCAGGAAAUUGUCUUUGGCACAUUGAUUCUUUGGUAUUUUCAUUUUCUAAUCCGUUAUGUUGUUGGGUUUGUAAGAACUCCUCUGCCAUCUAACGUCGCUGCUAAUAUCAUGUGUGUGUGUUCAAUGAAGCAUUGUUUACACACAUAUACAUCCGUGCACCAUUAAGUGAUAGUAGUGCUGAUACAACACUUUGGUUUUAUUAAUAAAUAUCAUGAACGCACCAAAACCGUGAUAAUCCUUCUCAGACUCUAUGGCGUCAGAACACUGGUUCAACGUGCCCUUAAAUAGCUGUUGAAAGGGAAUUUGUAGUUUUUAAAAUAGUUACCCCAAAUAACCCCAAAUGGAAACGGGGGGAACGGUGCCUUUGUUUGGGACGGUCCAGCGGCGGAUUAAACACAUUUGGUGCUUGAGUGAGUUUUUGGGGCAGCAGCAGGCUGUUUGAGGGAUUUAGUCUAAAUAAACCACAGUAUGUGUGAAUGAUAAUGGAGGAACAUGUGACCCAGAUGUACUACUGGGACUCACUGAUGUGUGUGUGCGUGUGUUUGGAUACACGGAUACAUCUUUAAAGAAUUUUAACUGCAACUGCAUUUGCAAAACACAUUACUUAAAAAAAAGGUGGAGGCAAGGUGGAGGUUAUGAUGCUAUCAAGCUGCACAACGUUGCGCUAGCUGGACGAGCGCACAGCGAAACUACUGCAGCGCCCUUUGGACUUUUUCUGAUUUGGUUUCCACAUUUGAAGAUGUGGAUUAUCAUCAACACGAUGUACAAUAUGUUGGGCAAUAAGGCUGGAUAUUCACUAAUCUGGGCAAAGUCGUUACAAGUGAGCUGGCAGAGCGCGGCCUGGCAGCGAGCGGCGAGGCAGACGGCGUUCUGACGCCAGCCGAGCUGCUUCACCAACAGAGACAUGCUCCGUAUCACCGAUGUUAAGACCGUCGAUUACAACGUACCAGCCAGUGUGGGAAGUAAACUAUGUAUUGAUCUAUUUGAAAUCAGUACACUGACUUCAUAAAUUACAUUUGGGCUCUAAAAUAAAUAUAUCGUGUAUGUACUGUGCUGUUUGUAAUGUGAACCACUGGUUUUAUAUUAUUUUUGAAUAUCUGAUCUCGUAUUGUUUAAACAAGGACCUUCUACCCACC
ensembl:lncRNA